rnacentral:rRNA from 1 species
UACGUAGGGUGCGAGCGUUGUCCGGAAUUAUUGGGCGUAAAGGGCUCGUAGGCGGUUUGUCGCGUCGGGAGUGAAAACCCAGGGCUUAACUCUGGGCUUGCUUUCGAUACGGGCAGACUAGAGGUAUGCAGGGGAGAACGGAAUUCCUGGUGUAGCGGUGAAAUGCGUAGAGAUCAUGAGGAAGACCAGUGGCGAAGGCGGGUCUCUGGACAGUUCCUGACACUGAGACACGAAGGCCAGGGGAGCAAACGGG